GCAACAUAACCGCCACAACACCAACCAACAGCAUGCUCAUCAACUCGCCUCUCUUAAUUUGUAUUUCAAUAUAACAUAAGGUGUAGUUAAAUGGAGUGGAAGUUUGAAGAGAAUAUGUGACCCACUGGCCUUUGUAUUCUCUCUCUUCACUCUCUAUAAAUUUAUAUUAAAGAAUCAGGUGUUGCUAGUGAUUGAUGCUGUGAAGAUUACAACCCCUGGCUAUAUAUAGGAAAGGGAACGCGUCUACGAAGUUCGAAGUGGGUCCUUAUGAAUAUGAAGGAACAUAAUGCAUUAGGAAAUUGCCAAAAGUUAGGAACCCAAAAUGUUGAAAGUCCCAAACAGAAACAGGACCCAGUCAGGUCUCAGUUAAGGUUGGGUACCCUUUUUCUAGGCCUGCGAAAAUUCAUCAAUUCACUUGAAAAUUAUAGGAGCUCUAAAAUUUAAUAUUUAAGAUUUAUCGCACAGUUUGUUGAUAGUUCGAGACUCGAUCUCUCUAAAUUUACAUCAAUAAUCCCAACGAUUUAUCAUAUAGGUUUCGUCGAGAUGGUAAUCUGUGUGAAAAUUUAGUGAUUUAGUGGGUUAGUUACAUGAUCGGAUUAUUUUUGUGACAAUAAGCAUAAUUGUCAGAUUAGACCUAUUAUUUUUAUAAUACAAAAAUGAUUUGACAUGUGAUUAUUGUCGUCCAUCAAUCUGGUUUUUUGCAUAAAAAAUCUUGACAGGAUAUUUUACAAGAUGAACUAUUCAAAUCAUUAAGGUGUGUCCAAAACAUGUUAUGUUUUUUUUUGGUACAUCGAAAUUAAGAAAAGAAUAUAACAACCAACACUAAUUAGAGAUGAAAAUCACUUCAGCACGAUCUGUUGAGGAGGGGUCAUAGGAGCUGGGAGUGUUCACUUAGGAUGACCAAUGGUUUUGGCUGGUUGGAUUUGCUCCCAAAGUGAAUACUUUACCGCAAGUAUACGGGGUCAUGAAGUAGUAAUAAAAACUCGAAAUAUAAGUAUCGAUCUCACGAGGAGCAAUGCUAAGGUAAACACAAGAUACUAAAAUACUACAAUUUAAUAUUAACUAAAUCCAAACUUAAAAAUAAAAAUUCUUGUAUUUAAGUUUUGGUUGAUUAAACUAAAUCUAAAUUAGAUAAGUAAUAAAAAUUAACUUAUACUUUGUAAUAAAAACGACUCAGAAUUGAUAGAUCCAAUCAAUCAGGUUUCUCGGAAUAUCAAUGGAGGUUUCGUAUAACUCAAAUCUGUCGACUACGUCGUGGGUCUCAAAUUUAAAAGAUUUAGCUUUUAAAACAAUGAUUCUUUCAAUCUUCAAUGUCUAGAAUAAAUCUAGUUGUCAUAAACAACGUCGUUCAUAAUUUGUGCAGCGCAUAUACUAAACCUACCUCACGCGCAUAAAUGUUACAAGGCAGCGUAUAUAUUGAGGCAGCAAUUCACGCAUAAACAUUAUCGAAUAUAAUAAAGUUUGUGCAGCACAUAUAAUAAAUUCAACUCACGCAUAAACGUUAUAAGGCAGCGUAUAUACUGAGUAUAACAUUCAUUUAUAUAUGUUACCGAACAAGAUAGGACACCUAAGUUUUAGAAAGUAUCAAAAAUUAAAAAAUAAGAAGAAUAAAAAUCAAGAAGAUGAAAUGGUGAUAUCAAAUUUACCUCUAUUGUUCAUCUUUGAUUCUCAAUGGAUCUACACAAACAAUCCCGAGUUGAGAAAAUUAGCCAAUCAUGGCUAUAGAAAGCAAACAACGAUAUAUUAAAAGCAUUACGGUAUUUAAAAUUGAAUUGAAUUGAUAAAUAUUGAAAGCGUUUACAAAAAUAAAUUAAAACUUAAGGGCACUAUGAAAAUUAAACUAAAAACUGUAAAGAUAAUCUAAAAUAAAACAUAUCUCGUUCAUAAAAUGAAGAGAAGUCUAUAUAGGCUUCAUAAUUCGAGUCCUAGUAGGAUUAGAAGUUCUUGCCCAUUUUUUUUUCUUAGCGUUUGAACUCUAAUAUUGGCGUUCGAACGCUCACUGUUCAUCCAAAAACUUUCUAGCUUGAUUUUUACCAACUUAGAACUCGAUUCAGCAAAUUACUAUUAUAUACAAAGUUGUAUCCUUUGAAAUCUUAUUUUCAAUGCAUUAAAAAUUAGCUUAAUCAGAUAUCGGACUAAAAUAUUAUGGCCAAAAUAUCAAGACAGGUUUUUCAGCAAAUCUGCUAGCUUUCAAAUGCCGGCAUCCCUUCCCUUUUUGAGUUCGAAUGCUUACUGUAACUAAGCCUAGCAUUCGAACGGUCACUGUUCACUUUUGAACGCUAAGGUCUGUAACUGUUUUUUGACUUUUUCAAGUCUCUGUGCGUUCGAACGCUGCACAGGAGGGUUCGAACCCUAGACUAAAAUCUUUUUUUCUUCCAUUUUUCAAGUCAUCAUUCGAACUCCCAAAAUUCUUUAUUUUCCGUUGUUCAAACGGUGUAUAUUUUGAGUCAUUUUCGAUUUUUUCUUAUUUGUUUCUUCUCAAUCUAUUUUGAAGCUUCUA
rnacentral:lncRNA from 1 species